AGGACAUUAUACUUAUGAUUGUCAUCGUUAUAGCCGGCGGAGGAGAAGCAGGUCACGGUCUAGAUCACAUUCGAGAUCCAGAGGUAGGCGAUACUCUCGCUCACGCAGCAGGAGCAGGGGAAGGAGGUCAAGAUCAGCAUCUCCACGAAGAUCAAGGUCUGUGUCUCUUCGGAGAUCAAGAUCAGCUUCACUCAGACGAUCUAGGUCUGGUUCUAUAAAAGGAUCGAGGUAUUUCCAAUCCCGGUCGAGGUCAAGAUCAAGAUCUAGGUCUCUUUCACGACCAAGAAGCAGCCGAUCAAAGUCCAGAUCUCCAUCUCCAAAAAGAAGUCGUUCCCCAUCAGGAAGUCCACGAAGAAGUGCAAGUCCUGAAAGAGUGGACUGAAGUUCUCAAGUUCACCUUUUAGGGAAAAAUUAUUUUGUUUACAUUAUUAUAAGGGAUUUGUGAUGUCUGUAAAGUGUAACCUAGGAAGGGUAUUUCAACCAUCUAAUCAAAAUGGAUCUGGAUUAUUACUCUGUAAAUUCACAGCAGUAAGAUAAUAUAAAUUUUUGUUGAAUGUAUUAACAUCCUAUGGUCUGAAAAUG